UACGUAGGCAGCGAGCGUUGUUCGGAGUUACUGGGCGUAAAGGGUGUGUAGGCGGGUCUUUAAGUUUGGGGUGAAAUCUCCCGGCUCAACCGGGAGGGUGCGCCGAAUACUGAGGGACUAGAGUACGGGAGAGGAAAGUGGAAUUCCUGGUGUAGCGGUGAAAUGCGUAGAUAUCAGGAGGAACACCGGUGGUGUAGACGGCUUUCUGGACCGUAACUGACGCUGAGACACGAAAGCGUGGGUAGCAAACAGG
rnacentral:rRNA from 1 species